UACGUAGGGGGCAAGCGUUGUCCGGAAUCAUUGGGCGUAAAGAGCGUGUAGGCGGCCCGAUAAGUCCGCUGUGAAAGUCCAGGGCUCAACCCUGGGAUGCCGGUGGAUACUGUCGGGCUCGAGUCCGGAAGAGGCGAGUGGUAUUCCUGGUGUAGCGGUGAAAUGCGCAGAUAUCAGGAGGAACACCAAUGGCGAAGGCAGCUCGCUGGGACGUGACUGACGCUGAGACGCGAAAGCGUGGGGAGCAAACAGG
rnacentral:rRNA from 1 species